rnacentral:rRNA from 1 species
AUGAACGAGAAGCGUGAUGCGGCGUCAUUCGCCUUGCAAGAAACUUUGCAAUGCAUGAUGACUCGAAAGGGAGCAAGGAAUGAGAGGAAACACCUAGAGAAGAAGGAGCAAAUGAAGGCCUAUAUCGAGAUACAAAAGAAGAAGCUCGAGAUCGAGGAGAGCGUCCAGACGAAUAAGCUUGAAACUGAGGCGACUAAUGCCAAGACCAAAGCAAAAGAGGUGGCCCUCGCUUUCAUGGCGAAGGAGGUGGAGAUCAUGACGGUGGACUUGAGCAAGGUGUCCCCGAGAAGAAGGUCAUGA